UCAGAGGCAAUGGUGCAGUUCAAAAGGG
rnacentral:sRNA from 1 species